AUACGGAGGAUCCGAGCGUUAUCCGGAUUUAUUGGGUUUAAAGGGUGCGCAGGCGGGAGAUUAAGUCGGCGGUGAAAUUUUGCAGCUCAACUGUAAAAGUGCCUUCGAAACUGGUUUCCUUGAGUGUAGAUGGGGUAGGCGGAAUUUGUGGUGUAGCGGUGAAAUGCAUAGAUAUCACGAGGAACUCCGAUUGCGCAGGCAGCUUACUAAACUACUACUGACGCUCAGGCACGAAGGCGUGGGGAUCAAACAGGAUUAGAUACCCUGGUAGUCCACGCAGUAAACGAUGAUUACUAGCUGUUUGCGAUACAAUGUAAGCGGCUGAGCGAAAGCGUUAAGUAAUCCACCUGGGGAGUACGUUCGCAAGAAUGAAACUCAAAUGAAUUGACGGGG
rnacentral:rRNA from 1 species